UGUUUUGGAGAGCUCCUUGGUCUUCAUGGUGUCUCUUGCUUGUUGGUGCCCCUUGCUUAGUGGUGUUGCAGGCCUUUCAGAACAGAACAUAUACUGAGAUCAUGUGACAGAUCAUGUGACACUUAGAUUGCACACAGGUGGACUUUAUUUACCUAAAUAUGUGACUUCUGAAGGUAAUUGUUUGCACCAGAUCAUAUUUAGCGGCUUCAUAGCAAAUGGGGUGAAUACAUAUGCACGCACCACUUUUCAGCUUCUUUUUUUUUUGAAACAAUUUUUUUUUUUUCACUUCACCAAUUUGGACUAUUUUGUGUAUGUCCAUUACAUGAAAUACAAAUAAAAAUACAUUUAAAUUACAGGUUGUAAUGCAACAAAGUAGGAAAAACGACUAGGGGGAUGAAAACUUUUGCAAGGCACUGUACUUCUGGUUUUCAUCCCCUCUUUCUAAUCAGGGACUAAUUCAGACCUGGGACACCAGGUGUGUGCAACAAACUACCAGGUAGAAACUAAAACCAGAAAUGUUUUGUGUUCCAGGAUUGGGCCUGCCCUAUAUAGUGCACUACUUGACCAACUACCUGUCCCUCCACAUUGUUUGUGUGGCUCGGGACCUUGCCGACUACGCCAACUGGUCAAAAGUAAUACACCUUACAGGGAAUAGGGUGCUACGGCAGAGCAUGACAUGAACAUCAUCAAUGUUAUAUCAACAUCACCACUUUUACACACUAUUACUGACACACUACUAUAUGAAGAGCAUAGGUUACACACUAAUAUUAGAAACCGUAUUGAUAUGUACUGUAAAGAUGACUAGACACUCUGGUAGUCACUAGCACAAUGGCUUUGCUUCUAAUCACCUCUCCUCCACAGCGCAUAGAAAGGUACAUAUAUUUCCUGUAUUUGUCACUUCCUUUUUCCACGAACAAGGUGAUAAUAAUGCUUCGGCUCAUGAAACAGACAAAUGUUCCCACUCCAAACAGGAAUUUAGGGCAGAGAAAAGGAUAAGAGCAGAUGAACAGAAUAGCACAUUAUUUUUCCACCUUAGCCUUGUGUCCUGCAAGUCAGGAAGCUGAAUGACCCUGUUGAUGGAAAGAGGAAGUGAAAGUGAGAUCUGAGAAGAGUGAUCUCUCAGUGACUGAGAGCAAGCGGAUAAACAGGACAGCAAUAAAACACUGAAAAUGACAUGAUAGAGUGUGCUGUACUUUACUCCCUCAUGGACCUUUUAGAGACCAUUGACAUUCCAUUGGUUUUGAGAGUGCAAUUCAUUGUAUUGGCAUUAUAUCCACUGUUAUUUGUCUGAGGGACUUACCUGCAGAGAGACUGCUCAUGAUGACUCAUAGUUUUCAAUUGGACCAAAUCACAGAGCAGAACAGCAGGUUGGCCCUGUGAUGGACAGCUGCUGAUCCAAUCAUGACGCAGAAGGCCCAGGCCAGGGAAGGGAGAGAGAUGUAUCUCAGUCAGUAGGUAAUUGGAUGCCCGGGGCACAGCUGCCACUGGGUUAGGGUGAGGCGAUAAACCAGCUCAUUUCAUUGCGAGGACAUUUGAUAGGCCUGAGCAACCAGCACUCCACAGUAGAGCUUGGCUGGCUGGCCGGAAACAGUGGGUUCUGUUGCAUGGUGAAACUGGAUCACAUAGCAGUGGGUAGGUAGCAUUAGCCCAGCAGGUAGCAGGACUGCUCUACUAGUUUCAAUGUUACUGCAUGCACUGGCAUGAAAGCUUUAGCCUGGCCUCACAUCUGUAUGUGCUUUUAUCAACUCUGACAGGCUGAGGAGUAAUCUGGGGAGAAGGUACAUCUAGUUGAGGAGUAGUCUGGGGUGAAGGUAACUCUGGCUGGGGAGUAGUCUGGGGAGAAGGUAACUCUGGCUGGGGAGUAGUCUGGGGAGAAGGUAACUCUGGCUGGGGAGUAGUCUGGGGAGAAGGUAACUCUGGCUGGGGAGUAGUCUGGGGAGAAGGUAACUCUGGCUGGGGAGUAGUCUGGGGAGAAGGUAACUCUGGCUGGGGAGUAGUCUGGGGAGAAGGUAACUCUGGCUGGGGAGUAGUCUGGGGAGAAGGUAACUCUGGCUGGGGAGUAGUCUGGGGAGAAGGUAACUCUGGCUGGGGAGUAGUCUGGGGAGAAGGUAACUCUGGCUGAGGAGUAGUCUGAGGAGUAGUCUGGGGAGUAGUCUUGGGAGUAGUCUGGGGUGAAGGUAACUCUGGCUGGGGAGUAGUCUGGGGAAGGUAACUCUGCCUGGGAAGUAGUCUGGGGAGAAGGUAACUCUGGCUGGGGAGUAGUCUGGGGAGAAGGUAACUCUGGCUGGGGAGUAGUCUGGGGAGAAGCUGGAAGCAUAUACAGACCAGGCUAUGACAUCUUGGGGAUCGGUCACAAACUAGGAAACUUUUUUCUUCUAAUCAGGGCCUCAACUAUUAUGGAUAUUAGUCCUUCUAUACUGGGGAUGUGGAGGGUACUACUGCACUACUCUGAAGAUCUGUAUUUAAAUUUAGUCUAUAUAUCUGU